rnacentral:lncRNA from 1 species
GUGUGCACAAAGGCCAGCGGCUACAUGUGUACUUUGUGUGCUUUUGGUCCUGUGUGCUUUUGGUCUGGCUUAAUAGGCACCUACUCCCCGAAGCUGUGAGCAGAUGCCUAGUGGGACUGUCAGAGAUGUGUAUAUCUAGCUGCUGCAGAUAUCACCGCAGUGAGAAACUGGAGGCACACACCUCUUUCAGAAAGAGAGAAAAAGCACGCAGUGAGAAGCUGAAGGUGCUUCAUUCACUUAAUUGUUUUGCAAAAAAGGAAGGGAGAGGAGAGGAGAGGAGAGGAGAGGAGAGGAGAGGAGAGGAGGCAAUUACAGGGUAUUUAAGUCCUUCCUCUGGGGGGAAUUCAGAGCUCUCCAAGUCUUUUCCAUUCAAGAAAAAAAGCGUGACAACAAUCAAAAUGUGGAAGCAGAAUCAUGUAAACUUCUGGCUGAGAAACAAAUCUUUUCUAUAGAAUGUCUUGUGUCUCUCUCUAAGAAUAAACAAAUACAUUUUUAGCAGCGAGAAGGUUUGUUCACCAACUCAAGUAACAAAUUCUUCUUCCUUGACACCUACAAGUGAGGUCUGGCUGCUUUCAGGAUUAUGCCUUUCGGUCAAACUCAAGUUAUUCGGAUCCCUAUAUACGUAUCAGGGAACGAGACUCUAUGGGCUACAUCAUGCAGGCAGUGAGAGCAGAUGAUGCAAUUGUCCGUUCUGUCCCACUGCAAUCAUUUUAAAAGGCCCGCAUGACUUUUGGAGGAGUAUCACUUUGUAAUUCAUCUGAGCUGAAAGUGCUACAGCAUCACUUUGGCAAAAGAGAGAGCUCCAAACCAGGCUCAACUGUACUGAAGGCUCACAAAGGCAGAUUGCGUUCUCAGUAUUAGAUGGUAGAACUCUUGGGGACUAGGAAGACUUGUGCAAAAAAAAGAAAUGCUUCUUUGCACCUUUGACGGAAGUUCUAAGUGACAGUGCAACACGAUACGCUUCGUGGACUGAAACGAGUGAUGUCGCUGCAGAGGACAUGUUGGGUAACGCUGUGCACAGGUAUCCUGGCUCUGGCCAUGGAGCACUGCUUGCACAGCUUCAUGGAUAGAGAUUUCCUACCGGUGUACCACCACAGAAAACUUUCUUGAACGUGAGCGUUUUCGAACACUGGAAGAGGCUUCCUAGCAAGGUGGCUGGUGCCUGGUGUCUGUCCAUGUCCAAGCUUGUCAAUGCUCUUAAUAAUAUACUUUCACUUUUGUUAGCCCUGUAGGUCCCUCCCAACUAUUUCCCUUCCCUUCCCUUCCCUUCCCUUCC